GGGGAUGUGGUUUAGUGGUAUAAUGCUUCCUUAGCAUGGAAGAGGUCCCGAGUUCGAUUCUUGGCGUCUCCA
rnacentral:tRNA from 5 species